rnacentral:rRNA from 1 species
AUUGAACGCUGGCGGCAUGCUUUACACAUGCAAGUCGAACGGCAGCGCGGGCUUCGCCUGGCGGCGAGUGGCGAACGGGUGAGUAAUGCAUCGGAACGUGCCCAGUAGUGGGGGAUAGCCCGGCGAAAGCCGGAUUAAUACCGCAUACGACCUGAGGGUGAAAGCGGGGGACCGAAAGGCCUCGCGCUAUUGGAGCGGCCGAUGUCGGAUUAGCUAGUUGGUGGGGUAAAGGCUUACCAAGGCGACGAUCCGUAGCUGGUCUGAGAGGACGACCAGCCACACUGGGACUGAGACACGGCCCAGACUCCUACGGGAGGCAGCAGUGGGGAAUUUUGGACAAAGGGGGCAACCCUGAUCCAGCCAUGCCGCGUGCGGGAAGAAGGCCUUCGGGUUGUAAACCGCUUUUGUUCGGGAAGAAAUCCUCUGGGCUAAUACCCCGGGGGGAUGACGGUACCGGAAGAAUAAGCACCGGCUAACUACGUG